rnacentral:rRNA from 1 species
AAUGAACGUUGGCGGCGUGGAUUAGGCAUGCAAGUCGUACGGGUCGGUGUAGCAAUACAACGGCAAGUGGCGAAAGGGAGAGUAACACGUAGAUACCUACCCUCCGGUCGGGGAUACCGCGGCAUAACCGCAAGUAAUACCCGAUAAAAUCUCCGGAUCAAAGGUGUGAUUCCGCCGGAGGAGGGGUCUGCGUUCUAUCAGCUUGUUGGCGAGGUAACGGCUCACCAAGGCUAAGACAGAUACGGGGUGUGAGAGCAUGCCCCCGCUCACUGGGACUGAGACACUGCCCAGACACCUACGGGUGGCUGCAGUCGAGAAUCUUCGGCAAUGGGCGCAAGCCUGACCGAGCGACGCCGCGUGCGGGAUGAAGGCCUUCGGGUUGCAAACCGCUGUCGAGGGGAAUGAAGCGUAGGUAAGUCAUCUUAUCUAUUUGACAGAUCCCUGGAGGAAGCAUGGGCUAAGUUCGUGCCAGCAGCCGCGGUAAAAC